UCAUUUACAUGAUUAAUAUACACAAAAUAAAUGGAUAUUAUUAUAUAUAAAGGUUAGGUUCUAGAAUUAACCUUUGCAAAAUUGAGAAGACAAUGCUAAGACUCGGUUAUUAUGUGUCGCAGGUUUUGUGCAUACCGGUAUUGAAAUUUUAUUUUAUUUAUUUUUUAUUUUAUAGAGAACAUGACUGACAAAGAUCUAUUUGACAGUGAUUAUGAUGGAAGUUCACAAAUACAUGAGCACAGUUACAUUGUGAUAUCGGACUCUGAGGAGACACAACCACCUUCACCUUUUGGUUGACAGGAAUAUUACAGUAAAAGACCAGUUGUUCAACAGCCUUUUUUUACAAACAAAUUCCUGGUGCUGCCAUUCCUAAUCAACCGACAUAUCAUAAUUCUGGAUAAGAAUUCAGAUUACUGGCUGCAUAUUCAACCGAAUUUUUGGGUCCUGCGUUGGUGGGGGGUAACGUGUUUCAGACCAGAAUCCUGCCGGACCAUCCAAUUGCAAGGACAUCUAACAUAGCUGAAAUGUAUCU